rnacentral:rRNA from 1 species
GAGUUUGAUCCUGGCUCAGAACGAACGCUGGCGGCGCGUCUUAAGCAUGCAAGUCGAGCGGGAAUAUCCAGCUUGCUGGAUACGAGAGCGGCGGACUGGUGAGUAACGCGUGGGUGACGCACCCUUGGGCCGGGGAUAGCCUUAAGAAAUUAAGGGUAAUACCGGAUACGGUCCCUUACGUUGGAGGUAAGGGAGGAAAGGAGCCACGGCUCCACCCGAGGAACGGCCCGCGACCCAUCAGCUAGUUGGCGGGGAAAAGGCCCACCAAGGCGAUGACGGGUAUCCGGCCUCAGAGGGCGACCGGACACAUUGGGACUGAGAUACGGCCCAGACUCCUACGGGAGGCAGCAGCUAAGAAUAUUCCGCAAUGGGGGGAACCCUGACGGAGCGACGCCGCGUGGACGAUGAAGGCCGGAAGGUUGUAAAGUCCUUUUCUGACGGAGGAAGAAGUGCCGGAGGGAAUGCCGGCAUGGUGACUGUAGGUCAGGAAUAAGCACCGGCUAAUUACGUGCCAGCAGCCGCGGUAACACGUAAGGUGCGAGCGUUGUUCGGAAUCAUUGGGCGUAAAGGGCAUGUAGGCGGUCCUGCAAGUCUGGAGUGAAAUGCCGGGGCUCAACCCCGGAACUGCUUUGGAAACUGUGGGACUGGAGUCACCGAGGCGGAGCCGGAAUUCCAGGUGUAGGGGUGAAAUCUGUAGAUAUCUGGAAGAACACCAAUGGCGAAGGCAGGCUUCGAGCGGAUGACUGACGCUGAGGUGCGAAGGUGCGGGGAGCAAACAGGAUUAGAUACCCUGGUAGUCCGCACAGUAAACGAUGCACACUGGGUGUCUGGGCAAGAGCCUGGGUGCCGAAGUAAACACGGUAAGUGUGCCGCCUGGGGAGUAUGCCCGCAAGGGUGAAACUCAAAGGAAUUGACGGGGGCCCGCACAAGCGGUGGAGCAUGUGGUUUAAUUCGAUGGUACGCGAGGAACCUUACCUGGGUUUGACAUACACACCGAUGCCGGAGAGAUUCGGCAGCGCAGCAAUGCGGGUGUGAACAGGUGCUGCAUGGCUGUCGUCAGCUCGUGCCGUGAGGUGUUGGGUUAAGUCCCGCAACGAGCGCAACCCCUACUGCCAGUUGCCAGCAGGUAAGGCUGGGGACUCUGGCGGAACUGCCCCCGACAAGGGGGAGGAAGGUGGGGAUGACGUCAAGUCAGCAUGGCCCUUAUGUCCAGGGCUACACACGUGCUACAAUGGCAGGUACAGAGUGAUGCGAGGCCGUGAGGUGGAGCGAAACGCAGAAAACCUGCCGUAGUUCGGAUUGAAGUCUGAAACCCGACUUCAUGAAGUUGGAAUCGCUAGUAAUCGCGCAUCAGCACGGCGCGGUGAAUACGUUCCCGGGCCUUGUACACACCGCCCGUCACACCAUCCGAGUCGGGGAUACCCGAAGCCGGCAGGCCAACCCGCAAGGGAAGCCGCUGUCGAAGGUAUGCCUGGUGAGGGGGGUGAAGUCGUAACAAGGUAACC